UCAGGAUGAACGCUGGCGGCGUGCCUAAUACAUGCAAGUCGAGCGAACCACUUCGGUGGUGAGCGGCGAACGGGUGAGUAACACGUAGGUGAUCUGCCCAUCAGACGGGGACAACGAUUGGAAACGAUCGCUAAUACCGGAUAGGACGAAAGUUUAAAGGUGCUUCUGGCACCGCUGAUGGAUGAGCCUGCGGCGCAUUAGCUAGUUGGUAGGGUAAAGGCCUACCAAGGCGACGAUGCGUAGCCGACCUGAGAGGGUGAACGGCCACACUGGGACUGAGACACGGCCCAGACUCCUACGGGAGGCAGCAGUAGGGAAUCUUCGGCAAUGGGCGAAAGCCUGACCGAGCAACGCCGCGUGAAUGAUGAAGGCCUUCGGGUUGUAAAAUUCUGUUAUAAGGGAAGAACGACUUUAGUAGGAAAUGGCUAGAGUGUGACGGUACCUUAUGAGAAAGCCACGGCUAACUACGUGCCAGCAGCCGCGGUAGUACGUAGGUGGCGAGCGUUAUCCGGAAUUAUUGGGCGUAAAGAGCGCGCAGGUGGUUGAUUAAGUCUGAUGUGAAAGCCCACGGCUUAACCGUGGAGGGUCAUUGGAAACUGGUCGACUUGAGUGCAGAAGA
rnacentral:rRNA from 1 species